rnacentral:rRNA from 1 species
UACGAAGGGGGCUAGCGUUGCUCGGAAUCACUGGGCGUAAAGGGCGCGUAGGCGGAUCUUUAAGUCGGGGGUGAAAGCCUGUGGCUCAACCACAGAAUUGCCUUCGAUACUGUCGAGCUUGAGACCGGAAGAGGUAAGUGGAACUGCGAGUGUAGAGGUGAAAUUCGUAGAUAUUCGCAAGAACACCAGUGGCGAAGGCGGCUUACUGGUCCGGUUCUGACGCUGAGGCGCGAAAGCGUGGGGAGCAAACAGG